rnacentral:rRNA from 1 species
UGGCUCAGGAUGAACGCUGGCGGCGUGCCUAACACAUGCAAGUCGAACGAAGCUCUUACGACGGAACUCUUCGGAGGGAAGAUGUUUGAGGCUUAGUGGCGGACGGGUGAGUAACGCGUGGGUAACCUGCCCUGUACAGGGGGACAACAGUUAGAAAUGACUGCUAAUACCGCAUAAGCCUCCGGAAUCGCAUGAUUCAGAAGGAAAAACUCCGGUGGUACAGGAUGGGCCCGCGUCUGAUUAGCUAGUUGGUGGGGUAACGGCUCACCAAGGCGACGAUCAGUAGCCGGCCUGAGAGGGUGAACGGCCACAUUGGGACUGAGACACGGCCCAAACUCCUACGGGAGGCAGCAGUGGGGAAUAUUGGGCAAUGGGGGAAACCCUGACCCAGCAACGCCGCGUGAAGGAAGAAGGCCUUCGGGUUGUAAACUUCUUUUACCAGGGACGAAGAACGUGACGGUACCUGGAGAAAAAGCAACGGCUAACUACGUG